GACGAACGCUGGCGGCGUGCCUAAUACAUGCAAGUCGAGCGAAUCAAUAGGAGCUUGCUCCUGUUGGUUAGCGGCGGACGGGUGAGUAACACGUGGGCAACCUGCCUGUAAGACUGGGAUAACACCGGGAAACCGGUGCUAAUACCGGAUAAUCCUUUUCCUCUCCUGAGGAAAAGCUGAAAGUCGGUUUCGGCUGACACUUACAGAUGGGCCCGCGGCGCAUUAGCUAGUUGGUGAGGUAACGGCUCACCAAGGAGACGAAGCGUAGCCGACCUGAGAGGGUGAUCGGCCACACUGGGACUGAGACACGGCCACGACUCCUACGGGAGGCAGCAGUAGGGAAUCUUCCACAAUGGACGAAAGUCUGAUGGAGCAACGCCGCGUGAGCGAUGAAGGCCUUCGGGUCGUAAAGCUCUGUUGUUAGGGAAGAACAAGUACCGGAGUAACUGCCGGUACCUUGACGGUACCUAACCAGAAAGCCACGGCUAACUACGUGCCAGCCGCCGCGGUAAUAC
rnacentral:rRNA from 1 species